CACUAUAACGACGGGUCCAUGCGUUAGAGCAUGCGUUAGCAUGCGUGCCGCAUGGCCCAAACGCAUGCUUAACGCGUGAAAAGCAUGUGCUGUACGCAUGCGGUGCCCGCCCAUACGCAUGCGUGCGCUACCAGAGCGUGCGUUACCUAGCGCAUGCUGGUGUUGGCUAGCGGCCGCAGCGACUCUUUCUGGAUGUACGCAUGCGUCCCGAACGCAUGCCAUACGCAUGCUUGAAGCACAUAUGCCGGUUGCGUGAAGUACUACGCAUGCCAUGGCGCAUGCGGGACGCAUGUGCGUUACCUAACGCAAGCAGCUGCCCCCAACUGCACGCUUCCCACCCGCAUGCAUGCACGCACACGUGGGGCACACGAAGCCAAUUCCCUCAACUGCUCAUUUGUGUUACAGUUCAUGCAAUGGCACGUGCCGCGCGUCCAGUGUAAACGAGGAUUCGGCCUGUUUCUCUGAAGGCGUGAGUCCGCCUCCAUCCACCAGCCUCUCCUUAGGCUUUUAGUCCGCCAUCGCACACCCUGGAAAGGAAGUCUGCCCGCUCCACAUGCCCUGUCACCCAUCGACCUCCUCGCUCACCGAACGUGCCCUACCGUAACAUGAAUACAGAUGCGUAUGUAGCGGGUAACAACCAAAUGCCACCCGCCAAGGCAUAAGCGGCAGAGGUGUGCCCAUAUUAAAGUCUUGCCAAACACACAACGACAACCACAACGUCCGACCUGCUGCACAGUGCUACCGCAGACUCUGCAUGCUGCCGGUGCCGGCACUCCAGUCCGUAGCUAGCCACAGAUGUGCAUGUAGCCACUUCCGCGGAACAACCAAACGCCACCCGCCAAGGCAUAAGCGGCAGAGGUGUGCCCAUACUAAGUCUUGCCAAACACACAACGACCUCAACCACAACGUCCGACCUGCUGCACAGUGCCACCGCAGACUCCGCAUGCUGCCGGUGCCAGCGCUCCAGUCCACAGCUAGCCACACCCGUGCUGCCCUUCGUAAGCCUGCAUAGUGUUCAGGACGAUUCGGUCAGGAACCAAACCACAAAACCAGGCAUAUCAGAGGGUAAGACGCAAGGUACCUUUCCCCCCAUGUUCAGCUGCAGACACGCUACUCAUGCAGUGCUUACUUCAGCAAUUGCGAAAUAAUAUCUGGACAUAGACUUGCCUGUUGGGGUUAAC
rnacentral:lncRNA from 1 species